AUGUAUGGAGGGAUGUGAGUUCCUGUAGCUAUAACUUCUAACCCAGAGUUGGUUAGAAGUUGCCAGAGUUGGUUAGGCUGAUCUCACCAGCAAGAUGGUGUCCUCUUCCUCCUUCAUUUUCCUAUCUGUUUCUCUCCUGAUGUUGUAUGCUUCCCGAAGGAGGAAGAUGUGCCAUAACGGAGGAGCACUGUUCUUUGGUCAGUGUUAUAUGAGUAGCUAUGUUCCUCUGCUAGAAUUACCAAAGAAGUUCUCAGGAAUGUAUUGAUCUUUUCAAUUUGACUAAGUGCUACAUGAAUGA
rnacentral:sRNA from 1 species